AUGCUCACUUUGGCAGCACAUAUACUAAAACUUGGAUGAUAUAGAGAAGAUUAUUAGCAUAGUCUCUACUCAAAGAUGACACACAGAAAUUGGGCAUGGUGGUGCAUGUCUUU
rnacentral:snRNA from 1 species